AGGCUUGGAUUGGAGAAAAGUUAAGGAGUUUGGGUGAUUUUGGUGCUUGGAGCUUAGAAAUUUGUGGAUUACCGGCACCUGAUCAGGAGCACCCAGGGAUUUGGAAUCUCUACUAUUGCGGGACAACAGGAAAGGGUAAGGCAUUAGCUGAUCAGCCAUGAGUUUCAGGAGCAGGGCGAAGAAUGUACAUGUUCAUGCCACUUCAGACCAAGCAGGUUAUGGGUCUAACAGUGUUGACUUUUGUAUUCUGUUUUGCCGCUUAGGUCGGCUAGUAAGAAAGAACUUGUAAUAAGUUUGUAAAUAUUUUUGGGAUCCCAAAUAUUUUG